rnacentral:rRNA from 1 species
AAAGUGAUUGAUACCAUGCUUCCAAGAAAAGCCUCUAAGCUUCAGUUACAUAGAGACCGUACCGCAAACCGACACAGGUGGGCAGGAUGAGAAUUCUAAGGCGCUUGAGAGAACUCAGGAGAAGGAACUCGGCAAAUUUGCACCGUAACUUCGGGAUAAGGUGCGCCCUGAUAGGUUGAAGCCCCUCGCGGGUGUAGGCUGAGAGGGUUGCAGUGAAAUGGUGGCUGCGACUGUUUAAUAAAAACACAGCACUCUGCAAACACGAAAGUGGACGUAUAGGGUGUGACGCCUGCCCGGUGCCGGAAGGUUAAGUGAUGGGGUGCAAGCUCUUGAUCGAAGCCCCGGUAAACGGCGGCCGUAACCAUAACGGUCCUAAGGUAGCGAAAUUCCUUGUCGGGUAAGCUCCGACCUGCACGAAUGGCGUAACGAUGGCCACACUGUCUCCUCCUGAGACUCAGCGAAGUUGAAAUGAUUGUGAAGAUGCAAUCUCCCCGCGGUUAGACGGAAAGACCCCAUGAACCUUUACUGUAGCUUUGCAUUGGACUUUGAACCAACCUGUGUAGGAUAGGUGGGAGGCUGUGAAACUGGGACGCUAGUUCUGGUGGAGCCAACCUUGAAAUACCACCCUGGUUUGUUUGAGGUUCUAACCAUGGCCCGUGAAUCCGGGUCUGGGACCGUGCAUGGUAGGCAGUUUGACUGGGGCGGUCUCCUCCUAAAGUGUAACGGAGGAGUACGAAGGUACGCUAGGUACGGUCGGACAUCGUGCUGAUAGUGCAAUGGCAAAAGCGUGCUUGACUGCGAGACUCACACGUCGAGCAGGUACGAAAGUAGGUCAUAGUGAUCCGGUGGUUCUGUAUGGAAGGGCCAUCGCUCAACAGAUAAAAGGUACUCUGGGGAUAACAGGCUAAUACCGCCCAAGAGUUCAUAUCGACGGCGGUGUUUGGCACCUCGAUGUCGGCUCAUCACAUCCUGGGGCUGUAGUCGGUCCCAAGGGUAUGGCUGUUCGCCAUUUAAAGUGGUACGUGAGCUGGGUUUAAAACGUCGUGAGACAGUUUGGUCCCUAUCUGCCGUGGGCGCUGGAAAUUUGAAGGGGGCUGCUCCUAGUACGAGAGGACCCGAGUGGACGAACCUCUGGUGUACCGGUUAUGACGCCAGUCGUAUUGCCGGGUAGCUAAGUUCGGAAGAGAUAAACGCUGAAAGCAUCUAAGCGUGAAACUCGCCUUGAGAUAAGAUUUCCCUGGGGACUUGAUCCCCCUGAAGGGUCGUGGUAGACCACCACGUUGAUA